rnacentral:rRNA from 1 species
CAGUAGCCGCGGUAAUACGUAGGUGGCAAGCGUUGUCCGGAAUUAUUGGGCGUAAAGGGCUCGCAGGCGGUUUCUUAAGUCUGAUGUGAAAGCCCCCGGCUCAACCGGGGAGGGUCAUUGGAAACUGGGAGACCUGAGUGCAGAAGAGGAGAGUGGAAUUCCACGUGUAGCGGUGAAAUGCGUAGAGAUGUGGAGGAACACCAGUGGCGAAGGCGACUCUCUGGUCUGUAACUGACGCUGAGGAGCGAAAGCGUGGGGAGCGAACAGGAUUAGAUACCCCCGUAGUCCCUGUCUCUUAUAC